rnacentral:rRNA from 1 species
UGUGGAAUAUUGGACAAUGGGCGCAAGCCUGAUCCAGCCAUGCCGCGUGUGUGAAGAAGGCCUUUUGGUUGUAAAGCACUUUAAGCGAGGAGGAGGCUACUUGGAUUAAUACUCUAGGAUAGUGGACGUUACUCGCAGAAUAAGCACCGGCUAACUCUGUGCCAGCAGCCGCGGUAAUACAGAGGGUGCGAGCGUUAAUCGGAUUUACUGGGCGUAAAGCGUGCGUAGGCGGCUUUUUAAGUCGGAUGUGAAAUCCCUGAGCUUAACUUAGGAAUUGCAUUCGAUACUGGGAAGCUAGAGUAUGGGAGAGGAUGGUAGAAUUCCAGGUGUAGCGGUGAAAUGCGUAGAGAUCUGGAGGAAUACCGAUGGCGAAGGCAGCCAUCUGGCCUAAUACUGACGCUGAGGUACGAAAGCAUGGGGAGCAAACAGG